GACGAACCGUGCGAACGUUGUUCGGAAUCACUGGGCUUAAAGGGCGCGUAGGCGGCAGUUCAAGUCCGGGGUGAAAUCCUCCAGCUCAACUGGAGAAGUGCCUUGGAUACUGGAUUGCUCGAGGGAGGUAGGGGUCGAGGGAACUUCUGGUGGAGCGGUGAAAUGCGUUGAUAUCAGAAGGAACGCCGGUGGCGAAAGCGCUCGACUGGACCUCUUCGUGACGCUGAGGCGCGAAAGCUAGGGGAGCAAACAGG
rnacentral:rRNA from 1 species